GAUGAACGCUGGCGGCGUGCUUAACACAUGCAAGUCGAACGGUGAAGGCAAGGUUGCUUGGUGGGUCAGAGGCGAACGGGUGAGUGACACGUGUGCAACCUGCGCUGGACACUGGGAUAAGCGCUGGAAACGGCGUCUAAUACUGGACAUGAGCCUAUUCCUCAUGGGAGGUGUGCGAAAGAUUUUUUGGUCUGGGAUGGGCUCGCGGCCUAUCAGCGUGUUGGUGAGGUAAUGGCUCACCAAGGCGCCGACGGGUAGCCGGCCUGAGAGGGUGACCGGCCACACUGGGACUGGGACACGACCCAGAGUGCUACGGGAGGCAGCGGUGGGGAAUAUUGCACGAUGGGCGAAGGCCGGGUGCAGCGACGCCGCGUGGGGGAUGUCGGCCUUCGGGUUGUAAACCUCGUGUAGCAGGGAAGAAGCGAAAGUGACGGUACCUGAAGAGAAAGCGCCGGCUAACUACGUG
rnacentral:rRNA from 1 species